UUUUGACGAUCAGUGAGUCAUGCCGACAGGCCUUAAAAGAGGCCUGCUUUUGGAUCGUCGGAAUUAAAAGCCGGAGGUGUUUAUUUCUACAUUUUUGUGCCCGACCAAUCAUACGAGAAUUCACUUUGGAUACCACUUUGGAGUCACCUUGGAUAGGGGACAGCUCUGCGUUUCAGGGCAGCCAGGAGUCCAAGGCACGGAGAGAUGCGAUCAGAACGUGAGUUUGUUUCUGGAAAUUAACCAACCCCUCCACUGAAGCCGCAGUGUUCUGUAGCUUGGUGCAAUACUGACUGGGGGUUGGGAACUUCUGGCUUACACAAUGAGGAAACCCAAGACAGAAGAAGGAGAUCCACCAGUUUUGAGUCUUCAUCUUGUCAGUCACUUGAAGGAUCAAAUUAUUCUGUGCCGGUGUCUCUGCUUCUCCUCUUCCUCUUCUAAGCUAGGAUGCUUUAUGUCCAGCUGCUCC